rnacentral:tmRNA from 1 species
GGGGCCGUAUUUGGUUUCGACGGGGAUGCGGAAGGGCGGAGAAGCGAGCGGCGGCCCUGAACCGCCUAAAAACGGGAACAAAAAAUAACUGACAACUACGAUAACGUAGCUUUCGCCGCUUAAUCGGCGAUCGUCGCCCCUGAGCGUCCUGCCGCGCAGGCCAGCGACGUCAUAGUAGCAGGGAACCAGCCGCCUUAAGCUUUGCGGACGGCCGGACUUUAUGAAGCUACUGAAGUUUAAACCCCGUCUGUGGGGGUUAAAUGGAGGGAAUGUCAAAACGCAGACUGCGCUCGGAGAUGCUCUGUUCGUCUGGUCUUCGGACAGGGGUUCGACCCCCCUCGGCUCCAC